AUGCAAGUCGAACGAUGAAGCCUAGCUUGCUAGGUGGAUUAGUGGCGUACGGGUGAGUAAUACGUGAGUAACCUACCUUUAACUCUGGGAUGAGCCUGGGAAACUGGGUCUAAUACCGGAUACGACCAAUCUCCGCAUGGGGUGUUGGUGGAAAGCGUUAUGUAGUGGUUAUAGAUGGGCUCACGGCCUAUCAGCUUGUUGGUGAGGUAACGGCUCACCAAGGCGACGACGGGUAGCCGGCCUGAGAGGGUGACCGGCCACACUGGGACUGAGACACGGCCCAGACUCCUACGGGAGGCAGCAGUGGGGAAUAUUGCACAAUGGGCGCAAGCCUGAUGCAGCGACGCCGCGUGAGGGAUGACGGCCUUCGGGUUGUAAACCUCUGUUAGCAGGGAAGAAGAGAAAUUGACGGUACCUGCAGAGAAAGCGCCGGCUAACUACGUCCCAGCAGCCACGGUAAUACGUAGGGCGCGAGCGUUGUCCGGAAUUAUUGGGCGUAAAGAGCUUGUAGGCGGUUUGUCGCGUCUGCUGUGAAAGGCCGGGGCUUAACCCCGUGUAUUGC
rnacentral:rRNA from 1 species